rnacentral:rRNA from 1 species
UUCCGGAGAGGGAGCCUGAGAAACGGCUACCACAUCCAAGGAAGGCAGCAGGCGCGUAAAUUACCCAAUCCUGACAUAGGGAGGUAUGUA